AUAAUUUAUAAGAGGGUGAGGUACACAGAAAUUAAAUAUGUGCAUAUAUGUUAAGAGAAAUUACACAACUGGAGUUAGUCAUUGAUAGACAUGGGACAUGUUUAGACCAAACAAUGGUCGUAUUAUGACCGUAUUCUUUAAAGUUAUAUUUCCAUUAAAAUGUUUUAACAAUUUUCAAGGAUACAGAUAGCAUGGCAGAGAUCAUUUCCUGACCAGUAACUGAUUCUACCUUAUAUUGCCUUCCCGAUACCUUAGCUGAAGUGCUCGUCACUUUUUUAGAUAGCAUAAUAAUAUACAGGCAUGAAAUUUGUUGAUCUCUAUUCUGUCUCUUUCUUCUGACUUGGUGCCUUAUGAUGUGGUUCUCAUCUAGGAAAGCAGUUGGGCAGUGAUCCCACAUAAAAAAUGAAAGGGUUGUUCAAGGAAGAUAUGGAAAUUGCAUAUGAACAAAUAAUUCUUUGCAUCGGUCUCUGCUACAGAAGAUAUAGGACAGACACUUGAGCCUACUGACAUAGAGAAGGAAUUGGAACCAGUAAAACACACUAAGGAAACAAUAGAAGAUAUUGUAGGACAUCAUUACAAGCUCAGUUCUAAGUGCAUCCAGACACCAAUCACAACAGUGCCAGUUCACCAAGAAGUCCCUUUAGAUCAGCAAGUAGGGAGACACUGAUAAGUGCAAAUAUAUCCAAGGCUGCAGCUUCAUUUUUGUUCCAGAAAGCAACUAAAGUUUCAGAAGGACUGCUCAUCAGUGUCUCAUAAAGUUCCCCAAGUAAUUUCUUUAAGAAAUCAUAUUUUUAAAAAUAGUUUUAUUGAUUCUUUAAAGAAAUAAUGACAACAUAAACUCUGAAAGAAAAAGGAAGAAAAGCAUGUGCAAAGAAAGAGAGAAGAAGAAAAGAAAAAAAUAUUUAAAGAAAUGAUUUCCAAUCUUCAUCACAAGUACAAGCAAACUUAGUAAUUCUUUACUCCCCUUCCUUUUAUUUCUUACAGUCUAAUUCAUUCAGAUGUUGUCAUAAAAUUUGAUCUCUCUUAAAUUUCCUUUUUUCCGUUUCAAAGGCUUCUUCAAGUCCAGUAAACCUCUUUUAUAAAUUCAAUAAUUAUA